rnacentral:tRNA from 1 species
GUUCUGGUAGCUUAGUAUCUAAAGCGUCGGUCUUGUAAACCGAAGACUGGAGAUGAAAUUCCUCCCCAAAACA